AGCCGGUAAUAGUGAAACAUAUGGUCAAACUAAAUCCAACAUGAGAUAUUUAGUAUGGAAUGAGUAGAGAUACACAAGAUAACACACAGAAAAAAUGUCCUCAAAAAUAUCACUACAGGAUACUGAGAUAUCACGUCAUAUUUAUUGGGGGAAAAAGUAUUUUUCAAUGUCCGUUAUCAUGCACCGUGUGCUUUUUUUUUCUCUACUUCCGGUAAGAAGUAAACAUCGCAUUUCCCUGUCAAAUUGUUUGAAACACACUCUGUUCGAAGAAUACUGGUUAUUGUCAAGUGAAUCGUGUAUGUGCUGAGGAGAAUUGUGUUAUUUGCGACAUGAAAGACGAACGUAAAAUAGCAACAUUGGGUGAAAAAAUGUGUGGAUAGUUAAUUUCUGCAGCCAGAAAUAAAAGUACUCUUAUAUUAUAUUCAUGCAUUUCUGUAAUUUAUGCUAUUCCCUGGUUUAUCUAGCGUGGUAUAUGUAUCUAAACAUUGAGAAGAAUGGAAGCAGAAGAAUGCAGUCGCAUGUUACUUAUUACCAAUUUAAUUUCAAUAUUCAAUUAUGUAGUGUAUCUGUAUUUAAAGAAAGGUAUUUUCAAAUCGCCAUCUGUUUUUUCUCUACAUAUCAUUGUAUCAAAACAUUACGCGAUACUUGUGUGUCAUUGUACCUCCUCCUUUGAAACCUAAACAUAUUUGAUAUUUGUACAUAGAAGAAUGAAUCAUCAAAGGGACCAUAAUGAGUCUAUUUGUGUCAACCCUUUUAUAAAUAUAGAUUAUAUAUUACUCGCCUAUUAAUCUUAAUAUCAAAUCAGUUGACCUUUAUGUUUAUUACUCUUUUUAUAAAAUUGCAGGAGAACAAAUGUAUGUUAGACCUGAGAAAAUUGUGUGCUAUGAGUGUAGAAAAAUUACUGCUACCCGAAUCUACUUGGAGAUGCAAACGUACCUCUAUAGCGUAGCGAAACGGACACAUUGAUCUGACUUCUUUUCAUUUCAAAUGCCUGUUCUGAGGUACAGAUUUCAAACAAAAUGACAAAAAGGCAUAUGAUAAUUUCCAAAUUUCAGUCAACAAUAAAGAAAAAUUGGAAGAGAAAUCUUCCGUUGUCUCUAAUCCGUACAUGAUCUAGCAGCAGUUGGUGCAAGAUAUCAUCAAAAAUGUAGCACACAUUUCAGAACAGGAUGUCAAGUUCCGACUCGACAUCAAACACCUCAAAAUACUGUAAAACAUAGUAAAGUUAGACCAACAAAAGAAUCAUCUGAAGAGGCAUUUUUGAAAACCAUGCAUUAUUUUGAAAACACUGAAAGUGAGCAAAUAGUUUAAAUUAUUAAAUGAUCCCAGGCAGAGUCUUUGUAAAUAAACACUCUUAACAUGAUGACAUUGAAACAGCUGGUAGUAUAUCAUUCAUAAUUAUGUGUACAAAGGUAAAACAAAUGAAACAUUAAACACAUUUAGGUACAGAAAAUUCAUUACGAAGGCAACAAGCAUAUCGGUAGUAAAGAUACAGAGCCUAACUCCUACAGAGGCAACUGCAAAGUUUCGUAGUUUUAGAGUGCACUGCCAUUAAAAUAGAGACAUGAAAUGGAAAGGAAACGAACCCUCUUGACUUGGGAUGGUACAAACGUGUUGAUAAACUUAGAGGUUGCUCUACUGGGAUGACUGUAGAUGUCAUGACAUUAACACUUAACUGACUUUCAUAAUCUUGAGAGAGCAAUGAAAAGUUUUUCGAACAUACUAGCUUUAUAAUAGAGCAUAUUCUUACAGUAUAUCGCAUCGCAGAGUUUUGUUCUCACAUUUUUGUACAUUACGGCUUUGUGUACAUUUGCUGUUAGCUGAAAAUUGUAAUUAUGUGUCGAUUUUAAAACAGUUUUAACAUUUUACUGUAGUGACCUGUUCUAUAUAUACUGUUGAUCUAGGAUUCUUUUCCUAAAUGUUUCUUAAUAAUUUUUUUAUUAUUAUACUGUUGUUAUUAUAACAUUUAUUACAUUUAGUGCGAGUUUUAAGGAAAAAGUUUAAAGAUAUUGUAUGCACGUUUUAUUGAUGGGUGGACCCGCCCGCUUAGCUCAUUGGGAAGAGCACCGAUCUACGGAUCGCGGGGUCGUGAGUUGGAUCCUCGGGCGGGCCGUAUGUUCUCCAUGACGACUUGAUAAUUUUUUUUUUUUUUUUUUUUGAGGUCCCUAAUUAACCUUACACACAACAUAUUACAACAUAUACAUAUUAUAAUAUUGUACUUAUUUUAAACAUCAAUAUUUUCAUAUAACAAUACUAUCAAUACUAUUACAAGUAUGGUAUAAAAGGUCAUAAACGGGUACCCAAGGAACAUUCUUUUUAGCAAAACCAUAUCAAAAAGGUGAAAAAAAGAAAAAAGCGGUUAUACAUGUAUGAUAUAUAAUGAUGCUGAGCGUGCUUGCACAAACUAAAGAUUAGUAUUAUGAAGUAUAAUUGUAAUAAUAUCUAAUUACAAAGUUAACAUUUAUCUGAUGAAUAAUCUUACAAUUGACCAGUUUUGUUUUUCUAAAUCUGUAAUGUUCAAAUUCUUAUAAAUUUCCCAUGCUAAUGAAAGGCUCUUCUUAACUCCAGUAACAGUUGGUAUAAUUCCUUUUCUUUUGCACAAAUAUAUAUAUCGUUUUUAUCUCCAGAAACAAAAUUCAUAUUCAACAUUUCUUGGUUUACAACUGAAGGAUCCAAGUAAAAAACAUUUUUGUUUCAUACAUUCCAUAUUUAUAUUAACAUUUGCAGAUAUGUUUUUUAUUCCGCUAAGUAAUUCUUGAACAAUAUGACAAUUCCAAAAUAAAUGUAAUAAAGUUUCUUCUUCCAUUCUGCAAAAUGUACAUAAAUUAUCGUUUCUCCUAUUCAUUUUAUACAACAAAGAGUUUGUACCUAGAGUUCUAUGUACUAUUCUAGUUUGAAACCACUGAAUAUAUGAAUCUCUUGUAUAUUUGAAAGGUAAACUAUAUAUAUAUUCCCAAUCUAAAAGACUAAUAUUAAACAAAGAGUUCCAUUUUAGUUGACUUGUUGGUUUUUCAUUAUUUUUUAUAAAUAUACUAUAAAUAGUUUUAUUGUUUUUCAGAAUUACAGGCAUUAAAUAGCUACUGAUACAAGGAUGUACCACAUUGUAAUCAAUAACAAAGUUGUUAUUUUUACUUAAUAUAAAACUUUUUACACUUCUUUUUAAUAUCUCAUAAUGUAAAAAGUUUAUUUUACUUCCAGCAAUUGUUUCCAAAUACUGCAAACUAAGAAAAGACACAUAAUCUGACAUAAUAUCACUAACAAAGCGAAUCCCUCUAUCAUAGAGUGGUUUUAUAAAUAUACCAUUUCCACCAGAGAGAAUUUCAUGAUUAUAGAAUAGUGGCAUAUUU
rnacentral:lncRNA from 1 species